rnacentral:rRNA from 1 species
AUUCCUCCCUUUAAGGAUCCCCCGGCCUAUCUUCGGGAGCUCCUUCGAUUCGAUGGUACUUCUCGUGCUAAAAAAUUCAUCCGGACUAUACGUGAGUACAACUGUAUGUUCGCUUUCACUUCGAUGGGUGCUACUAUUGAACGCUCGUUUGGUAGCAGUCGUGGACCUAAGAUUUUUAAGAUCAGUGGUCAAGUGUCUCAUCGUAUUGGUUCGUUGGUGCCUAGCGGUGAUGAUACCCCUAAGUUUGCUGAGUUGUAUAUACAUGACCCAGCUAAUGAGAUUAGACAUAGGAUCAAUGCCUUAAAUCCAGAUGAUAAGCCUACUGGGGGUGUGGAUGAGAGUAUUGUGGUUGGUCUUAGAGACAUGCUUAAUGAGUUUAACCCAUUGGUACAGACCUUUCGGGAGGCGAGUAAGAUGAUAGAGGAUCGUGGUGAUGAACCCAUCGAGGAUAUCUCGAUUCGUAUUAUUGGACCU